GAUGAACGCUGGCGGCGUGCCUAAUACAUGCAAGUCGAGCGAACGGACGAGAAGCUUGCUUUUCUGAUGUUAGCGGCGGACGGGUGAGUAACACGUGGAUAACCUACCUAUAAGACUGGGAUAACUUCGGGAAACCGGAGCUAAUACCGGAUAAUAUUUUGAACCGCAUGGUUCAAAAGUGAAAGACGGUCUUGCUGUCACUUAUAGAUGGAUCCGCGCUGCAUUAGCUAGUUGGUAAGGUAACGGCUUACCAAGGCAACGAUGCAUGGCCGACCUGAGAGGGUGAUCGCCGACAUUGGAACGGGGACACGGCCAAGACUCCUAAGGGAGGCAGCAGUAGGGAACCGUCGGCAACGGGGGAAAGCCUGACGGAGUAACGCGGAGCGAGAGACGAAGGCCUUCGGUGCGUAAAACCCUGUUAUUAGGGAAGAACAGAUUUGUAAGUAACUGUGCCCAUCUUGACGGUACCUAAUCAGAAAGCAACGGCUAACUACGUG
rnacentral:rRNA from 1 species